AUUGAACGCUGGCGGCAGGCCUAACACAUGCAAGUCGGACGGUAGCACAUAGAGCUUGCUCUCGGGUGACGAGUGGCGGACGGGUGAGUAAUGUCUGGGGAUCUGCCCGAUAGAGGGGGAUAACCACUGGAAACGGUGGCUAAUACCGCAUAACGUCGCAAGACCAAAGAGGGGGACCUUCGGGCCUCUCACGAUCGGAUGAACCCAGAUGGGAUUAGCUAGUAGGCGGGGUAACGGCCCACCUAGGCGACGAUCCCUAGCUGGUCUGAGAGGAUGACCAGCCACACUGGAACUGAGACACGGUCCAGACUCCUACGGGAGGCAGCAGUGGGGAAUAUUGCACAAUGGGCGCAAGCCUGAUGCAGCCAUGCCGCGUGUAUGAAGAAGGCCUUCGGGUUGUAAAGUACUUUCAGCGGGGAGGAAGGCGAUGUGGUUAAUAACCGCAUUGAUUGACGUUACCCGCAGAAGAAGCACCGGCUAACUCCGUGCCAGCCGCCGCGGUAA
rnacentral:rRNA from 1 species